rnacentral:rRNA from 1 species
AUUGAACGCUGGCGGCAGGCCUAACACAUGCAAGUCGAACGAGUGGCGGACGGGUGAGUAAUGUCUGGGAAACUGCCCGAAGGAGCGGGAUAACUACUGGAAACGGUAGCUAAUACCGCAUACCAUCGGAUGUGCCCAGAUGGGAUUAGCUAGUAGGUGGGGUAACGGCUCACCUAGGCGACGAUCCCUAGCUGGUCUGAGAGGAUGACCAGCCACACUGGGACUGAGACACGGUCCAGACUCCUACGGGAGGCGGCAGUGGGGAAUAUUGCACAAUGGGCGAAAGCCUGAUGCAGCCAUGCCGCGUGUAUGAAGAAGGCCUUCGGGUUGUAAAGUACUUUCGGCGAGGAGGCGUUACUCGCAGAAUAAGCACCGGCUAACUCCGUGCCAGCCGCCGCGGUAAUAC